CGCCCGGCUGGCUUGUUGGCGGUUAUGCUUUCCUUCCACUUGUACCAAGGUGGCGCUGGGGUGACGUACCCACACGUGAGGCGGUGAACCCAGUGGGGUGAGCCCACGGGUCGGGGAAGGCACGCGAAAACCUGCGACCUGUAUCGAACAUUCCCUGGUGGAAGGGGGGCCCAGUAAUGGGGCUGCUACGCGGGUGGGCUGGUCCCUCCCCCUCCCCUCCUAUUU
rnacentral:lncRNA from 1 species